UGGCCCUACGGGACGCAGCAGUGGGGGAUAUUGCACAAUGGGGGAAACCCUGAUGCAGCGACGCCGCGUGUAGGAAGACGGUCCUCUGGAUUGUAAACUACUGUCCCCAGGGACGAAGAUGACGGUACCUGGGGAGGAAGCUCCGGCUAACUACGUGCCAGCAGCCGCGGUAAUACGUAGGGAGCGAGCGUUGUCCGGAAUUACUGGGUGUAAAGGGAGCGUAGGCGGGGAUGCAAGGUGGGUGUUAAAUCUACCGGCUCAACUGGUAGGCGCACUCAAAACUGCAGCUCUUGAGUGAAGUAGAG
rnacentral:rRNA from 1 species